rnacentral:rRNA from 1 species
GAUGAACGCUGGCGGCGUGCUUAACACAUGCAAGUCGAACGGAAAGGCUCCUUCUUUCCGGGGUACUCGAGUGGCGAACGGGUGAGUAACACGUGGGUGAUCUGCCCUGCACUUCGGGAUAAGCCUGGGAAACUGGGUCUAAUACCGGAUAGGACGAUGGUUUGGAUGCCAUUGUGGACAGUUUUUCGGUGUGGGAUGAGCUCGCGGCCUAUCAGCUUGUUGGUUGGGUAAUGGCCUACCAAGGCGUCGACGGGUAGCCGGCCUGAGAGGGUGUACGGCCAAAUUGGGACUGAGAUAAGGCCAAACCUCCUACGGGAGGCAGAAGUGGGGAAUAUUGCACAAUGAGCGCAAGCGUGAUGCAGCGACGCCGCGUGGGGGAUGACGGCCUUCGGGUUGUAACCUCCUUUCGCUAGGGACGAAGCGCAAGUGACGGUACCUGGAGAAGAAGCACCGGCUAACUACGUG